AGAGAGAGACAUGCGCGCAUAUCAAUAAGCGGAGGAAAAGAAACUAACAAGGAUUCCCUUAGUAACGGCGAGUGAAGCGGGAAGAGCUCAAAUUUGAAAUCUUCAAGGUUUUACCUUGACGAAUUGUAGUUUAAAGAGGUGUUUUCUGCUGAAGUUUUGGUAAAAGUUCUUUGGAAUAGGACAUCAUAGAGGGUGAGAAUCCCGUAUUUGACCAUUAUUUUCAGCUUUGUGAUACACUUUCAAAGAGUCGGAUUGUUUGGGAAUGCAGUCCAAAAUGGGUGGUAAAUUUCAUCUAAAGCUAAAUAUUGGCGAUGAGACCGAUAGCGAACAAGUACCGUGAGGGAAAGAUGAAAAGAACUUUGAAAAGAGAGUUAAACAGUACGUGAAAUUGUCAAAAGGGAAGCGUUUGACACCAGUGUUGUUUUCUCGAAAAUCAAUUAAAAAUGGCUCGAUUUUGUAUUGCUGAGACCUUAAAAGCUCACUGUACAUUUUUCGUGUCUUUUUUAAUGCACUUUUCGUUUAACAAGUCAACAUCAGUUUCUUUUGUUGUAAAAGGGUCAUUGGAAGGUGGCUUUCUUUUCGGAGAAAGUGUUUAUAGCCUUUGGCCUCUGCAAUCGGAAGAGACUGAGGUCUGCAGCGUAGACUCUUCGGGGUUAGAUACAUUUGUGCUAAGUUAUAGCUUUUUAUAGACAACUUGUUGACUAUAAUUAGUCUUGUAGCUUACUCGCUUAUGCUAUUUUACCUACGCUUAGGAUGUUGAAGUCAUCGUAUCGCGC
rnacentral:rRNA from 1 species